CAAUAUAAGUGAUGGCGACCGGCGCACGGGUGAGUAACACGUAUCCAACCUGCCGAUAACUCGGGGAUAGCCUUUCGAAAGAAAGAUUAAUACCCGAUGGUAUAAUAAAACCGCAUGGUUUAAUUAUUAAAGAAUUUCGGUUAUCGAUGGGGAUGCGUUCCAUUAGGCAGUUGGUGAGGUAACGGCUCACCAAACCUUCGAUGGGUAGGGGUUCUGAGAGGAAGGUCCCCCACAUUGGAACUGAGACACGGUCCAA
rnacentral:rRNA from 1 species